rnacentral:lncRNA from 1 species
UAUUCCCCUAGUCUCUGUUGUCCUCACAAAUUAAUGGUUAAAAUGUGCUUCCUCUGGGACAAAAGACACAAUCUGUAACGAAGCAAAGUUCCUAUUAAUUACUCUCAACCAUCUGUGUACCUAGGAAAAGAACGUUCCGGGCCCCCUAUCCAUAGAACAAUCUGUAGAUGUGCUGACUGUCAGUACGUAAUGGUCGUGACUAUUAGUCAGUGUGUCUGCUGACCAUCAGUACGUGACAGUCGACCACUAACCUUUGUCCCUCAUUUCCCUCGUAAAACCUACAUGUAACCGCCCCUCAACCCUCAAUGAACCUAGCCAAUCAGAAAUGUACACUUCAUGCUUGCUAAAUGUUAACCAAUCAUGUAACUGCUAAGUGAAAAAUCUCCAAACCUCGCUUACCUUUCUAUAAUUAACCCCUGGUGUUUUAGAUUCGGGGCUCUCAAUCCUGACCCGCUGCGUCGGCGACGGUUGAGAGUCCCUGGUCGAGCUUGAAUAAACGACCCUCGUGUGUUUGCAUCGGAAUCGGCUCCUUGGUGGUCUUUGGGGACUUCGCGAUCUGGGCACAACACCAGGAACAUGGAAGGUUCAUAAUUUAAACUGGUAGAAAUGAACUAAGCUAAGAUCAGAUGCAGGCUAGAAAGGGAGCAAUUGAGUUUAUUGCUGAAAUGAAGCCCCAAAGUUAUAGAGCUUAACUCCAUUGGAGGAAGGGUCAGAAAGGCAGUGCUUACUCUUAACUCAGAUAGGGAAUAACUGCAGAAAAAUCUAGGGUAAGACAAGUGACUUGGCAAAGAGACGGAAAAGUCAGCAGACCAGAGAUGCUAUGCACCCAGGCUGAUGUGUUUGAGACCUUUCAACCCAACUGUCUAAGAUGGCCAGAAUUACUGACAUGGACCAAAACAACUCCUUUCCAGAGCUUUAUCUGAUGGAAGAGGCAAGGACAAACAGCCAAGGAAUGGCAAAGGAGAGAUGGCAAAGGAGUUGCUCACAGUGACAUCAGAGGAUGAAUGCAAUAAUCCAUAGGUGGCUCAAGAGAAACUGAGGACAGAGUCAAGUAAAGGGUGACCAUCAGAAUCUGCUUCUCCCUGCAGAAAUAUCUCC